rnacentral:tRNA from 1 species
CAAAAUAUAGUUUAGUUAGUUAAACAUUUCAUUUACACUGAAAAAAAAUCUGUGCAAUUCAGUUUAUUUUGA